UACGUAGGGUGCGAGCGUUGUCCGGAAUUAUUGGGCGUAAAGAGCUUGUAGGCGGUUUGUCGCGUCUGCUGUGAAAAUCCGGGGCUCAACCCCGGACUUGCAGUGGGUACGGGCAGACUAGAGUGUGGUAGGGGAGACUGGAAUUCCUGGUGUAGCGGUGAAAUGCGCAGAUAUCAGGAGGAACACCGAUGGCGAAGGCAGGUCUC
rnacentral:rRNA from 1 species